rnacentral:rRNA from 1 species
CCUACGGGAGGCAGCAGUGGGGAAUAUUGGACAAUGGGGGCAACCCUGAUCCAGCCAUGCCGCGUGUGUGAAGAAGGCCCUCGGGUUGUAAAGCACUUUCAGUGAGGAAGAACGCCUGGUGGUUAAUACCCAUCAGGAAAGACAUCACUCACGGAAGAAGCACCGGCUAACUCCGUGCCAGCAGCCGCGGUAAUACGGAGGGUGCGAGCGUUAAUCGGAAUUACUGGGCGUAAAGCGCGCGUAGGUGGCUUGAUAAGCCGGUUGUGAAAGCCCCGGGCUCAACCUGGGAACGGCAUCCGGAACUGUCAAGCUAGAGUGCAGGAGAGGAAGGUAGAAUUCCCGGUGUAGCGGUGAAAUGCGUAGAGAUCGGGAGGAAUACCAGUGGCGAAGGCGGCCUUCUGGACUGACACUGACACUGAGGUGCGAAAGCGUGGGUAGCAAACAGGAUUAGAUACCCCAGUAGUC